rnacentral:rRNA from 1 species
AUGAGAUAUAUGAUACACAAACACACUGACACACCCCAGGCCAUAGAUCAUUUACUGGUAGAACGAAAACGAUUGCAGUUCCAGCGUUUGGCCUGGAAAAUCACUGACAACACAACUGCCACCGCAAAUCCAACUCCAAAACCGGAUCCCACAAGCACAAACAGCACUAUGGUUCCAACACUGUCUUGUGAAGACACUGAUGAGUCGAGGGUUCCCGUACCUGAACUGUUGCACUGUUUGGAUAAUGGCCUUCCAGAAAGCCCUUCAUUGCCUUCGAACGAGCUGUUGGUGAAUGACGAAAACUGCUGCCCUUCUGGUAUCAUUCCAGUCAAAUUGUUAGAGGAGAGAUUCAGCACUGCAAGAUAUGUUAGGCUGGUUAGAUCCUGUGGGAUCUCCCAUGAGAGCUUGUUCCGAGAGAGGUCCAGUGACUCAAGCUGUACCAAGUCACCAAGCUGUGAUGGGAUUCUCCCCGUGAAGGCAUUAUUUGACAUAUUCAGGCCAUGCAGAGCAAUAAGCUUCCCAACUGAGUUUGGGACGGGGCCAUCAAAUGCGUUGUUUGAGAAAUCAAUCAUCUUGAAAGUGGUCAGGAUCUUGGUAAAUGUAAGAUCAACCCCUUUAAAUGUGAGAAUUUCCUGGUAG